GUUGAGCAAAACAUUUCUCGCGUAGGGCUGCGUUAUACAUAAAAAAUUGAGGUCUCAACGUUUAACGUGCAUCUGUUCAGUCAGCUGAUUGCCCGAUUACACACAUACAUGAGCGCAAAAUGAUAAACAAAUGAAUACAACACACGGUUGAUUAUUUUAACGACUUUCUGCUUGUGAGUGUUAGUGAUCCAAGCAGGCCUGAAAAAACCUUUCAGUUUUCAACGGCCAUUUUGUCACCAGUUUUUUCAGCAUCAGCAUCGUGAUGGAGUUAACGGAGAAACCAAUUAGGUCCCCAGAGCAGGCAAAAAGUGGUGAUGGAAGGCUUGCUGAAGGACUCCUGCCUUUGCGUCCAUGAGGUGUUGUAUUUUCGCCGGAAACUUUAUCCUGGUUCCCCAAUGAACGAUAACGUAACGUGAAGUUAUCAAAGUGCUCAUAUUUAGUUUGUGUAAAGUUUUAAAUAUGCCUUAAUACUUUUAUAAUUCAUAAAGAGAGAUUUUAUAAAAUA